AACGAACGCUGGCGGCGUGCCUAACACAUGCAAGUCGAACGGAAUGAGGGGCUUGCUCCUCAUUAAGUGGCGCACGGGUGAGUAACGCGUAGAUAAUCUGCCUGAUGAUCUGGGAUAACAUUUCGAAAGAGGUGCUAAUACCUGAUAAGCCCACGACGGCCUUGGUCGUUGCGGGAAAAGGGGGGGACCAUUUGGCCUUCUGUCAUCAGAUGAGUCUGCGUACCAUUAGCUAGUUGGUAGGGUAAAGGCCUACCAAGGCGACGAUCCCUAGCUGGUCUGAGAGGAUGACCAGCCACACUGGAACUGAGACACGGUCCAGACUCCUACGGGAGGCAGCAGUGGGGAAUAUUGCACAAUGGGCGCAAGCCUGAUGCAGCCAUGCCGCGUGUAUGAAGAAGGCCUUCGGGUUGUAAAGUACUUUCAGCGGGGAGGAAGGCGGUGAAGUUAAUAGCUUCACCGAUUGACGUUACCCGCAGAAGAAGCACCGGCUAACUCCGUGCCAGCCGCCGCGGUAA
rnacentral:rRNA from 1 species